UACGAAGGGGGCGAGCGUUGUUCGGAAUUACUGGGCGUAAAGGGCGCGUAGGCGGUCCUUCAAGUCAGGCGUGAAAGCCCCGGGCUCAACCUGGGAACCGCGCUUGAGACUGGCGGACUCGAGUUCGGGAGAGGAUGGUGGAAUUCCCAGUGUAGAGGUGAAAUUCGUAGAUAUUAGGAAGAACACCGGUGGCGAAGGCGGCCCACUGGCUCGAUACUGACGCUGAGGUGCGAAAGCGUGGGGAGCAAACAGG
rnacentral:rRNA from 1 species